UAAAUCUGUUGGUCUUUAAGGUGUCACCGGACUCCUCAUUGUUUCACUGACUUCGUUUCUGAGGUGCUUUUCAUUAGGAUUGGGUGGGUUAUCUCCACCUAGAGGACUGAAAAUUCUCUGGGGCAGUAUCAUAAAGCAGGGAGGGAGAAUGGCUGUCCUUUUGACCCUGCUUUCUCCCUACACAGAGCCCAAUCCCCGCAUAAUCCCAGGGCGAGAGAAACAUGUCACAGAACUGGCACUUCCUGUACCCUGAUCAACUGCUCUUUACUCCACUUUGCUCAUCUAAACAGUUGGGAGCUUUUGGCCUGAAGAGUGUAUAUAGGAGCUUCUGUUUUUUUCCUGAGGGGGAAAGUCAAGAUAUGAUGUCAUGCUAGUGGACAGCAGAUCUUGAUAAACACAAGUGAAAUAUUUUCAUACGAGUUUGUUGCUAAAAAAAAAGACUGAUCAAAAUGAAAAAAAAAUCCUUGAAAACUUUGAAUCUACUCUAGUCCAUAUAUCAUCAUGACUAUUGAUUCCAUUUAGCAUUUCUGACUCAAAGGCUAGCCAAUAGCAGUCUUGCCAGAAGUUGAAAUAACCUGGGGUUACCAGCAGUAUAAAAGCAAUAUGGCAGUUGGUUUAGGUAUGUUUUACUUUUUUUCUGUGACCAGUAUUUGUCGACUGUGAGAAAUGCUUCCCUUUAAUACUGGGAGCUGUUUAAUAAGGGACAGUGUUGCCUUAAAUAUGGCUCUAAUUACAGAUUUUAUGAACCUACAAACUUUUAGCAAACCUAACACUGCUGAAAUGCUUCCACAUUUUUUACUUCAGUUAAAAUAGUUCUUAUGAAACAAAUAAGCAGUCCUUGUAAAUAUUCCUUUUUAGAGUAUAAAACCUUGAAAAUUCAGCAUGAAGAACCUAAAAGUGAAACGGACUACAUAGAUUUUCAUUGUUGAAAGCUAAAUGAAAGAAUUAUAUUAAAGAGCAUACAAAGUGACAAGUAAAUGAUUUUUAAAAAUGCUUCCACUUAAGAAUCUAAGAUCUUAGUAUCAUAGGAAAGAGAAAUGUAUGUAUUCUACAAUUUAUGAUUUUUAAAUUGAAAGUGUCCCUUGUGGAGUAAUUGUUUAGGAGGAAAUUCUUGAAAAGAUUGUUCAUCCCAAACACAUAAGGUUGUAGGCUCAACCCAAAUGUGUACAGCGCAGAAGAAAGAAUCAGCAGACCUGGCAACUAUCUGCAUCUAAUCCCCUUCGAGUACUUCAAGUUAUGGACAGUUGUGGGUUGCAGAUCCUCAUUAUUCCUCCACAAUAUCCAUAUGCCUGUGAGCCACUGCAUCUGUUUAGUUAUCAGACCCACCUGAUACGACUCUAGCUUUGUCCAACACAUACACUCAGGCUUCCGUGCUUCUGCAAAGUGGAACAGAGCUCUGCAAUGCUGUUUGGGAGAAAGUGACACCCCAUCUUCCCUCUACAAUGGUGAGCACAACAAUUUUUGCUGCAUUGUGGGCAUUCUGCAGCUCUGCGUAGUGCAGAGGCAGAAUUUCUCAUGUCAGCACAAGGUCAAAAGUGAUGUAGCAGGGCAGGUUGCAUAAGUGAGUGCUCCUGCGUGCCCAUUAGGAGAAGGAAAUCAAAAGAAGGAACUGCCUAGCUGAGCACUCCCUUUGAAUGCUGAGCAUUUGAGCUCAUGUCUCCUCAGACACACCUGUUGUGCACUAAUGCCUUGCCUCUUUUUUUUCCCCAUGCUGCUGAGGGUCAGAUAGAUCCACAAGAGUCACUAAUGAACAUUUUGGGAAAAGGAUGUCCGUGUUAAAGAUUCCACACCUGCAUCUUUCAUAGUAAGUAUGCCUUGAGAUAUAGCUGAAUCUCCUGCUUUGUAUGUGUUAGUCCACUGACAGCAGAGUAUGGCUUUUUUUUUAAAUUUAAUUUAUUUAGGCAUUCUGGGAUACUGAUCGUCUUGACAUUAUAGUAAGGAACCAGGUUUUAGGACAUCUUCAUUGUUUUUAAAAUUCCAUUUGAUGCAUGGCCUGCUACCAUAGUAUACAAGACCUCACUAAAGUUUAUACUAAAAGAAAUGUAGAAAUGUUAACACCUGAGGCAAAUUCUCAGAAUUUAACUUUCUGAACAUGACUCAUUUCUCAUAAUACAACAUUUUUUUAUCACACCAGUAUGACUAAAUUUUAUCAAGCCAUAACUAACUUGGGUAUGUUCUGCUUAUCUAAGUUAGCCCACAAUGCAUAUUUUUCAGGUGGUUUUCUAUAUUUGUGUAAACUAUUUAUAUGGGCCACCAUCACCAUAGUUCCUGGACACAUCACAAUCUUCAAUAUGUUUAUCCUUACUACACUCCUGUGAGAUAGGAAAGUAUUACUUAUUCCUAAUUUACAGGUGGAAAACUGAGUCACAGAGAGACUAAUCUAUUUGCCAGGGUCACACAGUAUGUCUGUUGCAGGGUAGGGAAGUGAACACACAUAUCCCAGUCCCAGAAUAGUACCUUAACCAAUAGACCAUCCUCUUUUUCUCUCUUGUAUAGUUUAUAGGACAGUCUGAAACUCUCUCAUGCAGUGUUACUGAAAAAAAUGUUCCCAGUUCACCAGCCAGAUAGAACUCUGUUUCUGUACUAAAUAAUAAAAUCUCAUGGAGGCAGGGCUUUUGUAUUGUACAUUCUACUGUAUGUGGCACUAAAUUAUCAGACUUGAAAAAUACAUCCUGUCACUGGAUGGCUUCAUAAGUCUUGUUUCAGAAUCCACAAAACUGUGGAGCACAAAA